rnacentral:lncRNA from 1 species
CUUAGGGAUGUCAAUGAAUACAAAUAUUCGAAAUUUUAUCCGAAUUAGAAUCCAAACAGAAUGAAUUUAUUCGAUGCUAAACGGAUAUAGUUUUGGAUAUGGAUAUCAAAAAUAAAAAACCAACGGGUAUGGAUUCGGAUAUGAAUUUUGACUAUACCCGACCUGAAUCCAAAUUUAUUUUAUAUUAUAUAUAAUAUGUAUGUAAAAAAUUGAUGUUAUAUUUGAAUAUGUAUUUUAAAAUUUUAGAUUUAAUGUAAUAUGUUUUGAAAUAUUGAAAAGAGAAAUAAUUGUUUCGGGUUCGGGUUUGGGUUUUCGAUUUUUGUUCAGGUUCGGGUUUGGAUAUUUUUAAAAUCUGUCGGGUUCGGAUUCGGGUUUUGGGUUUGCAGUUGGGUUCGGGUUUGGGUUUUUGAAAAUCUAUUCCGAAUUCGACCAGUUGACAUCCCUACUUGGGCUAAUAAAACCUUCUCUAUGGUAAAAUUACAGAUAAUUAAUUAAAUGCUAACAUGAGAAAAUUAAACACAGAU